rnacentral:misc_RNA from 1 species
GAUGAAGAACGCAGCGAAAUGCGAUAAAUAAUGUGAAUUGCAGAAUUCAGUGAAUCAUCGAAUCUUUGAACGCACAUUGCGCCCGCCAGUAUUCUGGCGGGCAUGCCUGUUCGAGCGUCAUUUCAACCCUCAAGCCCAGCUUGGUGUUGGGGAUCGGCACAGGCGCCCUCGGGCGCCCGCCGUCCCCUAAAUCUAGUGGCGGUCCCGCUGCAGCCUCCUCUGCGUAGUAGUUUUCUCCUCGCAAGGGCAGCUCGGUGGCGACCUCGCCGUAAAACCCCCAACUUCUGAAAGGUUGACCUCGAAUCAGGUAGGAAUACCCGCUGAACUUAAGCAUAUCAUAAGCGGAGGA